UCUACAAUCAAUGUGAUACAAAACUAUUUUUUAAAUUCACUCUUAUAAAGUUUGUGACCGUAUUCGAUGGAGAAUCUUAGUAGUAUACUUAUGUACAUUUCGUCCAACCAUAGGCAACAGAGGGGGGUUAUUCAAUGCAAGCAAAUGCGCGCGUAGAAAAGAGAAAUAAAUUCAGUUCAGAUCGAUUUAUGUGUUCUACUACCAUUAUCAGUAGACAAAUCUGACGACAUUCCGCUACUUUGUCUAAUUCAUUCCAACAUAGUCAGCUAAAACCACAGCAAUGAAAUCCCUACUACCGUGCUAGAUGGUGUCGACACGAGUGGACGGAUUUUUAAAUUUAUUUGAACGACGCCAUGUUACUAUACUUGUCCAUUACAACGUACAUGUAACAGAAGAAACACACAGUCCAUUUCCACGCUAUUGGACAUAAUCGAUUUGAACCGUCAAUGUGAACUAGAUCAAGUAUAGAACUUUCCAUAGGAUCAUAUACGAUGAAUAUGGAUUACACAGUCUGUUUCAAAAUACCGUCACCAAUGUCGACACCAUUUGACAAUAAAAUUUUGACAGUAAAAAUAUAUGUUAUUGUUGUUGUCGUUUCAUUGCUGUGGCUAAAAUACCAAAUGAGAUUCACAGUAAAGGUGACGCUAACAUCUGUUCGCAAAUGGUGGAAUUAUUGGAGAAAUCCCGAGACAGAGCUCUUGUUCAACUGAAUGCUACAUGGAAACGUAUAAUGGAACAGUGCAAAGAAAAAUUGCAAUCGGAAGGCCACUGGGAUGAUUCGAUAGACAUAAAUGAUUUGAAUGGCACUGUUGCAAAAUUGGUACAGAUGUAUCCCGUAAUUGUAAAUGUUGUCGAUGGCUUAAAUAGCGGAAUGUCGUCAGAUUUGCUGAACUGCAUUUAUUGCAAAGCACAUAUAGACCACAUCAAUAUUUUUUUCUAAAAUAUCAAUGUUUAUUCCAUCUUUUGAAUGUAACAUGUAAAAUAAUUUGUUCCAAGUCACAAAUUUAUUUCAGUUAUUAUUUUUUCCAAAUUCUUCAUAUAAAACUUUCUUCACAAGCGUUGAAUACGUUUAAAAUAAACUUUGAAUACACUUUUCUCUUCAAUUUCAAA